rnacentral:rRNA from 1 species
UACGUAGGGGGCAAGCGUUGUCCGGAAUUAUUGGGCGUAAAGAGCGUGUAGGCGGUCCGAUAAGUCGGCUGUGAAAGUCCAGGGCUCAACUCUGGAAUGCCGGCCGAUACUGUCGGACUAGAGUCCGGAAGAGGUGAGUGGAAUUCCCGGUGUAGCGGUGAAAUGCGCAGAUAUCGGGAGGAACACGAAUGGCGAAGGCAGCUCACUGGGACGGCACUGACGCUGAGACGCGAAAGCGUGGGGAGCAAACAGG